UGGAUCAGUGAUGAGCAUUGAUGAUAUAUGAUCCAGGGAUCAUGAGUACAGGUGUAGGAGUCUGCGGCCUAC
ensembl:snoRNA LOC120093411 small nucleolar RNA SNORD113/SNORD114 family